rnacentral:lncRNA from 1 species
ACUGCGCUCUGCGCCGAUUGCAAAGUAGUCCCUGAGGAUGAGCCCCUGUGAUUGGAGGACGACAACAAACGGAUGGUUUGGGCUCAGGAGGAAAGGACCUGCCUGAUGGAGCCCGGCAAUUGGCGGGAGAGAUAGCGUGUGUAACUCUAGGGAGGGGAGAAUCACCCCUUAGCGACAUCACCCCCACGCGCGUGACUGAGACUGCAUCCUCCCAUGAGGGUAAACGUGGGAGGUAAAGAGACCUUCCGCUGCGUAAAGCUGGAUCGACCCGGAAACAAAAUCUUUUAAAAAACGAUUGACACUCUGGAGGGGCGGGGGAAUUGAUAAGUUGGGACGACCGGACAGCUUCUCAGGUUGCUAAGCGACGAGGCGGGAGCGCACGCACACCCUGGCUGCUUUGUAGCACCUGAGGAAACUGUGGCGGCGGCGGCGGCGUCCUGGAGACCCAAGAGACCAAGCGAGCGUGUCGCUCCCUCUCGGGUCCGAGGACCUAGCCUAGGAACCUUCUGCCCGGGGUAGUGUCUGGUGAUGAGGCGAGAGUUUUGCUGGGACGCCUACUCCAAAGCGGCCGGGAGUCGCGCUUCUUCCCCACUCCCGAGACAGGAUAGAGAUUCCUUCUGCCAUCAGAUGUCUUUCUGCUUGACUGAACUGCACCUGUGGUCUUUGAAGAAUACCUUACACAUUGCGGAUAGAGACAUUGGGAUCUACCAGUAUUAUGACAAGAAAGAUCCACCAGCACGAGAUUAUCCUUGGACGCUCAAAAACAGACGCCCAGAAAAACU